rnacentral:lncRNA from 1 species
CUACCUUGAAGAGCACAACACCUGCUUUUCCUCCUGUCUUGGGAAUUUUUUAUCUGACUGUUAGACUAUGAAAAACAAAGUUGUGUUUGAGUAAGUUGUUGAUCAAAUCCUCUUUGAAAUUAUCUUUUUUUUUUUCUGUUUUAAUUUAUAAGUUGUGAUUGAUUGUGAUUAGAUUUGUCAGAUCACAAGGAAGAAUGAGAUUAUAAGAGUUACCAUUCCUUCUGUUCAUUCAUGUUUUUUCAAGCCUCAGUUCAUUUGUAGGACAGCAAUAUAUAGGACAGUUGCAUUAGAAUCACAAGGUAGAAUUUGGUUGCUAGAGAAUAGAUGCCAAAAGAUUUACAAUUGCAAGUUUUUUCCCUUCAUUUGAAUUUGAGCCAAGCAAUUAGGACUGUCUGCAGAAUGCUUUGCAAUCCCACAAAUAAUUCACAAGUAAUAUCACUGAUAUAGAACAAAUCUUGAAAAGAAACCAAAACAUUUUGAGCUAUAUAGAAUAAAUCUUGAAAAGAAACCAAAACAUUUUGAGCUAUGUACAAGAGGCUUUAGAUAAAAAUCUUAUAGUAGUAAUUCACUGGUUAAAUGUUCUCCGUAUUGGCAGUCUGGAAUAGCAAAAAAUUUGAGCAAACCCCGAAGCAAAACCCUUCUUCUUCUUCUUCUUUGCUGGCGGUGACUUGGUAUCCCUCUUAGCAAUAAGAUCAGCCAUGAACUUAACAACAGCCUAAUGAACAAAGAGGUUGAAUAAGUUAGUGUCUUAUAGCUAGUAAAACUGGCAAGAUCCCAACAAGCUAAUUUUGUAAUCAGACUAGCAUACCUGAGCCCCCAAUUUGAUUACUUGUGUAGGUGGAACUUCCAAUGGAGUCUCAUCAGCAAGAAAAACUCUCAAUUUUGACAAUGAUCCGAAAGAAUCUGGCAGAUUUCGGAUCUGGUUGUCACUUAUAUCCAACUCUUCAAGCAGCUCAAGAUUU